rnacentral:lncRNA from 1 species
UUUUUUAAUAACUAUAGUGUCCCGACUAACUUGCGUAUUAAUUUCACAGAUCACAAUAGACUUCCAGCAGCAUAACUCUGUCCUACAAAAUUUGGACAAAAAUAUAUACAUGUCUGUUUACAUUCUUGACAUAUAAGCCAAAUUAUUUAAUUUGUUACUGAAACAUAUUUGCGAUGCGUGCAGCGACCCUCAAGUCAUUACUUUCUAAAAGAAACUAAUGUCUUUAAUUGGGAUGGAUGACAAUGAACUUGAAGUGGAUGGAAAAGCUAUUGAGAUGUGGAAAAGCAUGUCAAAGGAGGUACUUCAUUUGGAUCUAUUGAUGGUACUAUAGCUUUUAUUUGUGUUUCUUACUCAUUACUGUGCUCUUGUAUGAAUUAAAUAUGAAAUGUGUUUGAAUCACCAGAUAUUGGGUUCUUCACAUUAUAAAUUUUUAUUGUUAUUUAAUAUUUUGCUGGUUUGUUAGACGACUAGAUUUUUCUGCUCUUAAUUGACUAACUAUAUGGCAUCCAUUAUUGGAUUUUCUGGCGAUGAACAACAACAAUAACCCAGUAUAAUCCCACUAGUGUGGUAGUGUGUACGCAGACCUUAUCCCUACCAUGAGGUAGAGAGGCUGUUUCCAAUAGAAACUCGGCAUCCCUCCCUCUAAGAACUCCCCACCUUACUCUUGGGGUGACUCGAACUCACAACCUCUUGGUUGGAAGUGGAGGUUGCUUACCAUCAUAGCAACCCCUCUUACCAUCUUGGCGAUGAACAACUUAAUAUUAUUUGGAGAAAUCCAAAUUUCAGCCUUGGCGAAUAUAACCAAUGGAAGAGGAGCACUAUUGCAUUACAUCUUUGACGUGACUAAUUAAUGGCUUCGCACUUAAGUUGUGUGUAAACAAAUACUAUGUGGGUGCGUCAAUAUCUGAUGUCUUCAAUAUACAUCAGCCUCUAUUUGGAUCCUAUUAACCUAUAAGUAAAUAUGAUUAUAUCUCUUAAAAUUUUGUAAGAAAAUUUAUACAUUUUCAGUGACUAUCAUAUUUGACUGAGGGCAUUUUUUCUAUUAAGCUUAAUAAGCUUUAUACACCGACGAUGUAAAAAAAAAAAUAUAUAUUUAAAUAAUCAGAUCAAUCAAUGAUGUAAUUAUAUAUAUAUAUAAAAUCUUUCUGAUAUAUAAUAAGUAUCUAAUAUAAUAAGUUAAACUCUACUCAUUCAUUCAAAAUCUUUUCACUGUAAGUGCAUAUAGAUUCUCCUAGUUUAUGCUCCUUGUGGCUAAUAUAUAACACUUCUUUUCUGAAACAGGAAACUGUGUUCCCAUGGAUGCCGAGAAAAAUCUCUUGAGACAAAAAUGGUACGUUCCAUGCUCUUCUACUGUCCAACAUCUCUGGACUGAUACAUGGGACCUUCAUGAUUAUGGAAGGCAAGUCAAGAUGUGGCUAUUGUGAGCAGUACGUAGUUAUUCUAGAAGUUAAUGGUAAUGUAUAAAUAGUAUAUUUUGAAAAGUGCAUGUUCAUUUGAUGGACUUCAAGAAUCAUAUGGUUGUAUUUUGGAAAUGAUAGUGGAUCAUGAAUUCAUUUCAUGGGCAAAAAGAAAUACACGUACCUAUUUUGGAGAUAA